CUACGGGGGGCUGCAGUGGGGAAUAUUGCACAAUGGGCGCAAGCCUGAUGCAGCAACGCCGCGUGAGGGAUGAAGGCCUUCGGGUUGUAAACCUCUUUUAGCAGGGAAGAAGCGAAAGUGACGGUACCUGCAGAAAAAGCACCGGCUAACUACGUGCCAGCAGCCGCGGUAAUACGUAGGGUGCAAGCGUUGUCCGGGAUUAUUGGGCGUAAAGAGCUCGUAGGCGGUUUGUCACGUCUGCUGUGAAAAUCCAAGGCUCAACCUUGGACUUGCAGUGGGUACGGGCAGGCUAGAGUGCGGUAGGGGAGAUGGGAAUUCCUGGUGUAGCGGUGGAAUGCGCAGAUAUCAGGAGGAACACCAAUGGCGAAGGCACAUCUCUGGGCCGUAACUGACGCUGAGGAGCGAAAGCGUGGGGAGCGAACAGGAUUAGAUACCCCCGUAGUC
rnacentral:rRNA from 1 species